rnacentral:sRNA from 1 species
GAACAGGGGAAAAGUUCCAUGACUUUUUAAAACUAUGUAUUAUAUAUGUUUAAGACAUAUUUUAUGUUUAAAACUAGCAAUAGUGAAGAAUUGGUUCUGAUCUUAUUAAUUCUGUAGUGUUGUUCAUUUAUUUUAAAAAUCUUAUUUUUCACUUUUUUCAGAUUGAAGAUAAAACUUUCCAAGUCCUUGGUGAUCUUUACAGCGAGGGAGACUGCACUUACCUGAAAUGUUCUGUUAAUGGAGUUGCUAGUAAAGUGAAGCUGAUUAUCCUGGAAAACACUAUUUACCUAUUUUCCAAGGAAGGAAGUACUGAGAUUGACAUUCCAGUCCCCAAAUACUUAUCUUCUGUGAGCUCACAAGGAACUCAGGGAGGCCCCUUAGCUCCUAUGACUGGAACCAUUGAAAAGGUGUUUGUCAAAGCUGGAGACAAAGUGAAAGCGGGAGAUUCCCUCAUGGUUAUGAUCGCCAUGAAGAUGGAGCAUACCAUAAAGGCUCCAAAGGAUGGCACAAUAAAGAAAGUGUUCUACAGAGAGGGUGCUCAGGCCGACAGACACACUCCUUUAGUCGAGUUUGAGGAGGAAGAAUCAGACAAAAGGGAAUCGGAAUAAACUCCAGUAAGGAAAUGGCCAAUUAAGUAGUGUCUUCUCUCUCCACCAAAAAGAGGAAGUGCCUCCAGCUUUUCUUGGGGUGUCAUAAAGAGCAGUUUUACUAAGUGAUUGUAUGCUUGUGCUGAACACCCUUCAUAUUGGAGAAUCAU